UGGGGAAUAUUGCACAAUGGGCGCAAGCCUGAUGCAGCAACGCCGCGUGAACGAUGAAGGUCUUCGGAUCGUAAAGUUCUGUUGCAGGGGAAGAUAAUGACGGUACCCUGUGAGGAAGCCCCGGCUAACUACGUGCAAGCAGCCGCGGUAAUACGUAGGGGGCUAGCGUUAUCCGGAUUUACUGGGCGUAAAGGGUGCGUAGGUGGUCUUUCAAGUCGGUGGUUAAAGGCUACGGCUCAACCGUAGUUAGCCUCCGAAACUGGAAGACUUGAGUGCAGGAGAGGAAAGUGGAAUUCCCAGUGUAGCGGUGAAAUGCGUAGAUAUUGGGAGGAACACCAGUAGCGAAGGCGGCUUUCUGGACUGCAACUGACACUGAGGCACGAAAGCGUGGGUAGCAAACAGG
rnacentral:rRNA from 1 species